CAAGUCGCACGGCGGUAGCAAUACCGCAGUGGCGAACGGGUGAGUAAUGAAUCGCUAAUGUACCCCGGACUUUGGGAUAGCUAUCCGAAAGGGUAGGUAAUACCAGAUGACAUCACCGCACGGCAUCGUGUGGUGCUCAAAGGUCCGCCGGUCCGGGAGCAGGCGAUUUCGUAUCAGCUAGUUGGUGAGGUAACGGCUCACCAAGGCGACGACGCGUAGCCGGACUGAGAGGUUGGCCGGCCACAUCGGGACUGAGACACUGCCCGGACUCCUACGGGGGGCUGCAGUAACGAAUCUUCCCCAAUGCACGCAAGUGUGAGGGAGCGACGCCGCGUGUGGGACGAAGUCCUUCGGGAUGUAAACCACUGUCAGGGGAUACCAAGUUCUGAGGAUCCCCAGAGGAAGGGGCGGCUAACUCUGUGCCAGCAGCCGCGGUAAGACAGAGGCCCCAAGCGUUAGGCGGAAUCACUGGGCUUAAAGCGUGUGUAGGCGGACGCCUAAGUGUCUUGUGAAAUCCCACGGCUCACCCGUGGAACUGCUGGGCAUACUGGGCGUCUUGGGCCAACUAGGGGCAGCCGGAACAAGCGGUGGAGCGGUGAAAUGUGUAGAUAUCGCUUGGAACGCCGAAGGUGAAAACAGGCUGCUGGGGUUGUGCCGACGCUGAGACACGAAAGCCAGGGGAGCAAACGGGAUUAGAUACCCCGGUAGUCCUGGCCCUAAACGAUGUCCACUAGAUUACGGCGCCUUUGACGGCGUCGUGGUCGAAGCAAAAGUGUUAAGUGGACCGCCUGGGAAGUACGGUCGCAAGGCUAAACUCAAAGGAAUUGACGGGGGCUC
rnacentral:rRNA from 1 species